rnacentral:pre_miRNA from 1 species
GGAAACUUAGAAACUACCGUUGGAUCGAGAAAUGGACGUCCGAGAUUCGUCCACGUCACCAUGAGUUAAAAUUUAACUCCCAUUUUAACUCAUGGUGACGUGGACGAAUCUCGGACGUCCAUUUCUCGAUCCAACGGUAGUUUCCAAGUUUUC